GGACAACGCGAGGACGUGAGGUUUCCUUUACUUAGGAGGUCACAGAAGCCACAGACCUGCACCAGGAGAAAAGGAGAUGGGAAAUCUGAGUGGCUGCAUAUUUUAUCUGAAAGCAUCAAAUUAUUACAGCAGGCUAUAUUGGGCUGAUUAAAUGCAGGCUUCCUCUUUUACCACCCAGGCUUCAGGGGCUUUUGAGGAAGAUUAGUCUUAGGGAAUGAAGAAGAUAUAUUCUCUUUGCACGUCCCUGUUACAGUGAGGGUAUAUAUGCUACUCAGCUUAAUUUUAUUAACUUUUGCUCAGGCUUUUGGCUGUUUGAUAUUCAGGAUGAGACGAAUCAAGAAGUAGAGCAAUAACCGAUGUGAAGGGGAUGUGAACAGAGAGCCAAGCAUGGAAAGAAAACAACCUUUCUGUGAAAUACUGACAAACAUUGCAUGAAGUUGUUAAAACACUCAAGUCAACCUAGUCCUGGAAUUCAGGAGAUCCAUCUUACUGAUAUUGUACUGAGAUAUUCAUGGAGGAGAGCACUCUGGCUGUGAUACUGCUUGAUUCCAUUAGAUAUUAUUCAGCUAACUUGACUGUAUGGGACAUGGAAGCAGUUUAUUGAAAUGGCAGAACUCAACAAAUACGCAGAGUGACUACUCUGGAAAGACAGUUGACUGAUAUCAGACUUGUGCAUAGUAAAAUCUUCACCACCCAUCCCCCACUCCUGACUUUCUAUCUGUAUGUGAAAAUCUCUCUGCAUCAGCCAAUAACAAGAAACAGCCUCCAGCUGGAUCUGGUUGAGCCAGACUAAAUUGCAUUUGAUUCAUUGACUUUGCUGCAAUUGGUCUGUAUAACAGUAUGGCAGAGAUCCAGCAUUGCAAUCCUUUUGUUCAUGGCAUUAAAAUGGUAUGAAGCAAAGAGUAUUUGCCAAAUCAAUAGCCUUGUACCAUAUGCCAGGGGAUAUGUUGAUCUGUUCUACUAACAAAACCACAUUUGAAGGAGCAACUGCAAUUGGAGUCACCAUCUGGUUAAGUUUGUGGAAACUCACUGUCAUUCUUCAAGAUCCAUCUGUCUUCCACAGAGGCCAAAGAGACAAUUAAAUGGGAUGUGACAAGAAUCACUAUCUUGCAUCUUUCAAGUCUUUAGUGGUGGUACUAAUGUCUAAAGUUCCUCUAGGAAUGCAAUGCUGUUUUUAGUUUACUAUCUAGGCAGUUCUAGUGAUUUUCACUUGGCUUUCCCUAAAAUAAUAGUUUUCAUUCCAUAGGUUAAGAAACCAAAGUGGGGAUUCUUAUAGUUUCUGAGCAUGUCUAUUGCAAUCACGCAUUUUGGAAUAUGGGAAAUUAACCACAGGAUGAGUUUUGAGACUCUUUGGUUCACUAUGAGAUAGACCCAACUCAAAACUCAAUUUAUUUUAGGCCUCCAUUAACCUCUACUACAAUUGGUGAGCCACAGUGAAAUAUUUGGUCUCCAGGAAUUGGUUUAAGUUUAGAGCCAAUGUCUAAUAAUCCCUCAAAAGUCUAAUUCUUUUCUCUUCUGCAAUGCACAAUCACCCCAGUAAAAGGUUGCACAACUCUUUAAGGGAAGGCUAAAAGAUUUACAUUACAUACUUUCAUCAUGGAAAAUGUUUUUUUUCCUAAGGGUAGCAGGCUUUCCUUUCAUUUAAGGGGUUCCAGGUCUGUGAACUGGUUCACAUCUGGGAACUUGUUGAAGGGCAUGAUACUUCAAUUGUAGUCAGGCUUCUGUUCACUAGACCUAGAGUUUUUUUGUGUAUACAAGCCAAGCAAGACUUUUAUAUGUUGCUCAUCUAUUUCAGUUCUAGGGACACCUUGUCAGUUGGCCAACUAGACCAUUUCGACUCUUGCUUUUAACUCAAUUGCCUUUAAACUGUGCAAUUGUGUGACUUGGUUAAACAGUUUGUAUAUAGCUUUUACUUCUGUGUCUUGUUUUGAGCCUGAAGAUAGCUGCAAAGGCAGUAAAAUAAUAAGCUAAAGACAUAAAGUGGGGUGGUUAGGACAAAUCCAAACCCAUAAGGAUAGGCUGGAACAUACAUCUGUCUCUUACCACCUCCAACCAAGUUUCCAACUUCAAUGAUGCCAGUAACAAGCUACAGAAGCUAGUGCUCAGAAUUUGGAGAGCUUAGGGAGAUCUGGCACGAGUUUGAGGGGUUGCUUUCCAGCUACUGUCCCAGUUGCUAUAAACACUAACCAUGGAUUUACUGACACUGAAGGAGAUUCAACAGAGCUAAAGCAGCUGCAGGACUAACUGCUGCUGCACAAUAGGAUGAGCUAGUACAUCAGGGACCAAUCUAUGUGAGCUACAACAGCAUUUGUUGUCCUGCACUGACCUGAGUGCAAAAAGAAAAUAUAUGGCUUCUGCCUCACUUUUGCCUUCCAAAUUUCAUGCAAAAUGUUCCUCAUGAUCCAUGCUAAUAAGAAAAUAUGCAGGUGUCAAAGCAAAAACUGCACCAGACAAUGUUGAACAGGCAAGGAAGACUUUGUUCAAGGUUAUUGAAACAGGAGAAACAUAUGAGAACUCUGAGCUUACCUCUACUGAAGAAAAUGGCAGGAAUUUUUAAAAGCUGGAUUGGGAAGAUCUUAGGCACCCCCUUGUUUGUUAAUUGGCCUUACCCAAAGGAAAAUCAAACUUUCUCUUCAUGACAGGAAAUAAUUUUACAACUUGGAGCAAAGUGCCAACUGAAGUUAGGCUUCUCUUCUCCUACAGACUCUGGGAGGCAGGAAUGCUAUCUUUCCUGAUGAUUGCUCCUUUAAAGGUUAGCUCCCUAGUCCAGAGAAAAUCUUCAGCUGCAAAACUGGCAAGAGGCUUUUUAAAAGACUUACAUCUCAAAAAGGCAGAGAAAGAAUUUACAAUUACAAGUUUUCUAAAAUACAUAUUCUAAGAACAGAGAGGUCAGGAGCCUAGAGUCAAGAAAAUGCCUGUUUAUGGUUUAGCAAAGCUGAGGGGAAUAUUAAAGCUAUCUUGGUCUCAAGGAAGGGAAUACUAGGAAAUAUAGUUUUAGCUUGGCUAAGUUGAUACUGUGCAAAUCUAGCAAUUCUUUUUUCUGAACUCCUACUGUUCUGAUGCCUCAUUUAGUGCUUAUUUGUUCUAUUAUGAACCUGAUGCAAAAAUGGGAAAUAAAAGAAUGACUGCAUGGCCUUUAAGUGUCAUGUUGAAACAUUAUAAUAAGACUAUUUCAUGAUUAUUUAAUUUUCACUUUUGUAGUUGACAAACUGCCACAAACCUUUUAGAUAGAUGACUGUGGUUGUGUACAGUAAACUUUAUUCACAAAAAUAGGCAAUGGGUUGGAUUUAGCCUAUUGUCUGUAGUAUGCUAACCCCCACUCUAGAAGAAUGCAGUUUUGUUUGAUUUACUAUUGGAUAACAGCCUAGAUUCUUGAAGUGAAUUAUUGAUUUAUGGAUUCAUAUAGUAAACGAUGUUUUUUCAAAAGAGAUGUAAAAGUUUUCUAACCAGUAGAGAAGAUAACCUCAAAUGUUACAAUUUUGUUUCAUCAUAGGACAUUAACUACUUUUAUAUUUUACACUGCAAUGAUAUUAUUUCAGGGUUCUGUGUUUCCCUAACUAUAAAUACUUCUAUCUUUCCUAUACUCUUUUGAACCAUCUUUACCAAUACUCCAUUUCCCUCA